rnacentral:rRNA from 1 species
GAUCCUGGCUCAGAUUGAACGCUGGCGGAAUGCUUUACACAUGCAAGUCGAACGGUAGAGGGGGCAACCCCUCGAGAGUGGCGAACGGGUGAGUAAUAUAUCGGAACGUGCCCAGUCGUGGGGGAUAACGUAGCGAAAGUUACGCUAAUACCGCAUACGAUCUACGGAUGAAAGCGGGGGAUCGCAAGACCUCGCGCGAUUGGAGCGGCCGAUAUCAGAUUAGCUAGAUGGUAAGGUAACGGCUUACCAUGGCGACGAUGGGUAGGGGUCCUGAGAGGGAGAUCCCCCACACUGGUACUGAGACACGGACCAGACUCCUACGGGAGGCAGCAGUGAGGAAUAUUGGUCAAUGGACGCAAGUCUGAACCAGCCAUGCCGCGUGCAGGAUGACGGUCCUAUGGAUUGUAAACUGCUUUUGUACGAGAAGAAACACUCCUACGUGUAGGAGCUUGACGGUAUCGUAAGAAUAAGGAUCGGCUAACUCCGUG